GUGGAAAAGCACGGAAGCGUUGCUUUACGACGAUUCGGGCGGAAGCGCCAGGCCGGCGUUUGCUGCUUGCGGCUUUCGGGCUCACACGUGGGUGGUUUUCGGUGUUCCGGCUCUCAAUUCAUUCCUUUUGGCGUGGACAAGCCUCAUUGAAGGACAGAGUGGCCGCAAAGGCCAAGGGUCGUGAGCUGAUGAAUAUUGCUGUUGAAAAUGAAGAGACGAUGGGAGGAGGUCUGCAGAAUGGAGUGGAGGGGUCGCGGCUACGGCUCAAGUCCGGUAGGGAGAGAGUCGGGGGCACAGCCGAGACGGAGGCCGGCCGUGUAGAAGCGGGGAACGGAUUGACAGGAAUGGGGAAGACAGAGGAUAGAGAAGGAACUGGGCAAAGGGUAGAGGAAAUGCGAGUGGACCUAACGGUUGUGAAGCAAGAACUUACCGACUGGUCAGAAAUGGAAGAAGGGAUGCUGGAUGGCCGAUGGGUAAAGCAGGAGGUAGAGGAUGGACCUAAGGUGAAAGAGGAGAAACCAGGCACUUUGGAAGUGAAGCAAGAGAUGGAUAGUAGUUUUGUGGUAAAAGAAGAGAAGGUGAACGAAACAGAUGUAAAGGAAGAGAAAGUGAAGGUGAAGGAAGAGGUAAUGGACUGGCUAGAUGUGAAGGAAGAGAAGAAAGCUAUCAUGGAGAUAAAAGAGGAGGUGUUUGUUGGUCAGAACAUAAAAAAGGAGGAAAUGAUGGAUGAAAUGUGUGUAAAAGAAGAGAAGUAUUUUCCAAAAGAAGAAGUGAUGGAUGAUACAAAGAUGAAAGAAGAACCUCACAUAAAUCCCCCAGUGGGCUUCAAGCGGAAACUGGCCAUGUCCAGGUGUGAAACUUGUGGUACAGAAGAAGCAAAGUACAAAUGUCCACGUUGUAUGCGAUAUUCCUGCAGUUUGCCCUGUGUAAAGAAACACAAAGCAGAACUGACAUGUAAUGGAGUUCGAGAUAAAACUGCAUAUGUUUCCAUACAACAGUUUACUGAAAUGAAUCUGCUUAGUGAUUAUCGAUUUUUGGAAGAUGUGGCAAGAACAGCAGACUACAUUUCUAGAGAUGCUUUCUUAAAAAGACCAAUAAGCAAUAAACAUAUGUAUUUUAUGAAAAAUCGUGCUAGAAAACAAGGUAUUAAUUUAAAGCUUCUACCCAACGGAUUCACAAAGAGGAAAGAAAAUUCAACAUUUUUUGAUAAGAAAAAACAGCAGUUUUGUUGGCAUGUGAAGCUCCAAUUUCCUCAGAGUCAAGCUGUGUACAUAGAAAAAAGAGUACCAGAUGAUAAAACUAUUAAUGAAAUCCUAAAACCUUACAUUGAUCCUGAAAAGGCUGAUCCUGUAAUUCGUCAAAGGUUGAAAGCCUACAUUCGCUCUCAGACUGGGGUCCAAAUUUUAAUGAAGGUUGAAUAUAUGCAGCAAAAUUUAGUAAGAUAUUACGAACUGGAUCCUUAUAAAAGUCUCCGUGACAAUUUGAGGAACAAAGUGAUCAUUGAGUAUCCAACAUUACAUGUGGUAUUAAAAGAAUCCAGUAAUGACAUGGAAGUUCUUCACCAAGAGCCCUGUGGUCCUGCUCCUGACUGCUGCUCUGUGUUCCUAAAGAAAAACAGUAGAGUCCAAUCUCUGUUUUGAAGUUUCGGUGGUUGGUUGACCAGAUGCUGUGAUGCUGUGCUUCAGGGUCCCCGCCAACACAGAAGAGACAGCAACUUUUUCCAUGUUCCUGACAGAUUGGAAGGUGUUUUUUCACAUUCUCUGCUUCAGAUCUCUCCCUGGAAAGUGUUGCUAUGGAAGAGCAUAUGGUUUUAUUUGGUGGAAAUGUGCAGAGAAAUUGAAGGAAGUCAUACGCAUGCAUGGCAAAUACUGGAAUUAAGGAGGGCUCCUGAUGAUAACUGGGAUACUGGUCCACCUGCUUGGGUGGUAACCCAGGAAGCAAGGGAAAGAGUCAGACAGCCAUAAGUUUAAUCGGAUCUGCCACUUGCUUGCCAGGUGACUUUGGGCAAGUUACUGGGCCCUGACUGACCUUUUUUUCUUCCGGGUCUCUGAAACAGAGAACAUUACCCUUACUGUGCAUUGCUCUUGCUGAGAGACAACAAGGUAACAAGUCAUGAGCACCAUAGUAACUGCUCAGUAAAUGGUAGCCACCAUUAGGGAGUGGUGAGGCAGUCGCAUUUAUGCCCCAAGGAUAUGGGUUCAGUCAUCAAGCUAUCUUUUGGCCUUUGAAGUUUGGAGCGCUUUGGGGAAGCCAGGGGUGUUCCGUGCUGGCCAAACUUGGUUUUGUGUACAUUUGUCAUCAGACUGGACAAUUGCUGAAAAAUGUAUACCUCAGCUGUCAAGGGAAUUAAAAAGGUCACCCCCUGCAAGCAGUAAGGUCUUCCUGAGUCUCAGCAAGUUGGCGACACCGUCGGGUGGAACAGUGCAGCCCUCUCAACAUGUGGUUUUGAACCCCGCCCCCCACCUUCAUGUUGUCAGCCCUGGUCAGCAUAGGCCUCAGCACCUCUGAGAGAACAGAAGACUCGUCUCCCAAGUGCUCACACCUGCUACCUACCCUGAAUGAACCCUUUGGGAGGGAGGGUGAUUAUAAUUGUAAUGUUUUAAAAUCUUCCUUGAACUAUUCAGGUUUAAUUCAUGUAGAUCAAAAUCUGCCAGGAAAAUGCUCCACAUGCACUUUGCAUAUGCAUUCUGGAAGAUUCACAGACCUGUUGAAAGGCUGCCUGCCACACCAUACCCCUAGCCCCUUUCUCGAGUACACGCACUAGAGGUUGGCAGAAGACGCUGAGAACCUGCGCGAACCUUUAUCAAGUUACUGGAUCUAACUGGGCGUCUUGUUUUCUGAUCUGGAAAAUGAAGAUACUGGAUUAGGUGAUUGCCAAAGUCCUUCUAGACUCUAAAUGGCUAUGACAGUAUAUCAUUCAUGAGCCUUGAAUAGAAUACAAGAGGUUUCUUUCAGCAUUCUAGACUGUUGAAGUUCUAACCUAUGUUAGGAAACGAUGAGAAAAAAGUCUGUAUCCUCCCUCAACCUGAGUGUUCUAGUUUCUCUCAGCUCCUCGAAGGGCCUUCAAAAAGAAGCAUCUAAAAUACAGUGACUCACCCAUGCUUUUCAUGGGCAUGGGGCCUUGCCCCAAGCCGGGGACUCCACAGUUGGGCAAACUGUUCCUCACCCUGUUAGGACAUGCGUAGGGCUGAUUGAAUGGACUUUUGUCUUUGCCUCUUUCUUAACACCUUCAUUAUGACUGAAGUCACUUUUUUAAAAACGAAUAAAUGGUGGAAAAGGGAAGGGGGACUUAACCAAUUUUGUUUUUAAACUACACACCGUAAAACUGUGUCAUCAUUCUGUGUAUAAUUCAAUUGAAGUGUUUUUUUCUAACAAAAUUAAGGGACAUAUGUUCACUCAGUGUACAUAAUAGAAUGGUCAAGGUAUGUGUUUAGACAGGAAAUGUGUAAAUCUCAUUUUAUAUAUGUAUUAUUGCUAGAAUCCUAAACGUGAAAAAAGUGUCUGGCAAAUGGGUACUGUACCAUCAUUUCCUUAGUGCAAUAAAUAUCACCUCUCACAUUAAAGACAUUAGCAAGUUUAA